AGGAAAUCGAGCGCCGCGCCCCUGCCCCGCAGGCGGGUGUGCGAGCGCGGAUGCGAGGUACCGGUCGCCACAGCUGACCCGCCGGGAUCCGCCUGCACUGCCUUCCAGGGACCUGGUUCUGACCACAAGAGGAAACGGGAGGUCACGGAUUGUUCUCCAUGGGGCCGUGAAUUAAAACCACAGCACGGAUCAUCACCACCAGCAUCAUCCUCACAGCACACCAGCAAGUUGCUGCUGCUCACUGACACAGGAUUUCCACCUUCCAUUAAACCAGUAUCUGGACACUGUUGGAAUCAAAACCUCUUCAGUCUCAGUCAACUUUAUGGCUCCCACUCACCUGGAAAAAGGGUAAAAGCACAACAUACUUCCAUUCAGAAUGAACAAAUGGGAUAUAAACUGCAGUCAGUGAUCAAUAACAGUGCUGAAAUCCAUCCAGAUAAUAGCCACCUACGUGGCCUGGAGAGAUGACUCAGCAGUUCAGAACACUGGCCGUUCUUGCAGAGAUCUUGGGUCCGGUUCCUAGGUGCUAACAACCAUCCAGUUCCAGGGGACUCCGAUGUCCUCUUCUGGCCUCUGUGGCCACUGCACACAUGGAGUGAGAGAGAUCUUCAUAAUCAUUUGAACUGUUGUCAGUUUCCUUCAGAGUGUUGGGCUACAGACCUGUCUAAGGAUCAAGUAACACUACAGCUAUUUCAUAAUUUUCAAUUCAUAUCUACUUCUAUUUAUAUAUAUCUGUUGAAAGUUUAUUAUUUCAAAUCUACUUGGAUUAUAACCUUUGAAAAUAUACAUGUGUAAAACAUUAAUAUUCAUUAUGUAUAAUUAAUAUAGAUAUACAGCAUGUACUUGAAGUUCAUUUAAAUAGUGUGAAAGUGAAUAAUAAUUAAUAGAAGUUUGAAAAUAUAAAUACAAUUUCCAAAUAGUAUGGGAAAAUUAUACAUUGACUUUAGAAUCAUUUUAUUAAAUUUAUUUGCGGUGUAUUUGUGUUUGUGUGUUUGUAUGAGAGUACAUGUGCCACAGCCUGUGAGUAGAGAUCAAAGAAUAAUUUGAAAGAGUUUUCUUCUUCUACUACGUGGGUCCUGGAGAUUGAACUCAGUCUUCAGACUUGACAGAAAGUGACUUUCUCUGCUGAGCCACCUUUUGUAUCCAGACUAUGCUAAUCUUUAACUCAA